UGUAGUACCUAGUGUGCCUCCUCGAGCCGGUUCCCAUACCUUCCACGGCGAUAACAUAUAAUAACGAUGGCCUCGUGAAGCCUACGGGCAAUCUGACUUUGUAGGAAAGACAAAAACGAAAGAUCCACUAUCGUGCGAUAUACGUAUGUACAAAAGUGUAAUCCUACGAUUCACGACUAUCCGUCCUAAUAACGACGUAUCGUUUAGAUAAUAAUACGUUCAAUGUCAAGGUGUUGUUAUCGGUUCGGUAGCAAGGUAUAUAGGUGAUACGUACCUAUAAACAGUACAGAUCGAUAGGUCAGGAUGGAAAAGUAUUCAAAAGAAAUAUGGUGAAGUAGACGCACGCGAGACGUAAGAGACAUACAUACAUAUAUACUGUCGGCCGUUUGCUGUCAAAAGAGAGAUGCUAAACAGUCGAAUGCAAAAAAGAGAAAGAAAGAAGGAAAGAAAGAGAGAAAGAGAGAAAGAGAGAGAGAGAGAGAGAGAGAGAGAGAGUAAGAGAGACGAAGGAAGAAAUGCCGCGACUGGUACCAAGGGCGGAGAACGAAACGCCGUGAUUACCUCAGGCGAUUUCUUCGACCCACCAAAGAGGGGAACCCGAGCGUGCCUCGACCGUACUUCGACCGGACCCGAUCCCGGGUCAGAUCCUCUCGCGCUAUGGGAAAAGGCUAAACGAUCGACUCACAUCGCUUGGAUUGCUUGCUCCGCUUUCGACGUCCUGUCCUUAGAAACGAUCGAUCUUCACUCGUACGAUUACAAAUGUUCCAUCGUCUUAUUGUCAUGUUAUUUAUGAAUUUUUACGAGAUACAAAAAAAUACUUCUCGAUUGGAAAAUAACAUAUGUACUUCGUGAUACGUUGUCAGCUUACUUGGUUAGAGUUUCGAGGGAAGAUGUGUAUAUCGUUCCACCAACGUCAAUGUGUACCGGUGCCGUGUACCUCGAAGCCGCCGCUACACAUGGUAUACCCGUCAUCUUUUGAUUGUAAACCGGCGUGACCGGCGUCGGUGGUGUCGGUGACGAGGAAUUCGACAUCGUAGGCGACGUGGCCGGCGAACUGCUUGGCGACAGCAAUCUAACGAAAAGGACACUUUCGAUAUUAACAUUAUUGGUCAGACUUUUUAUUAAAUUAAACGCAAUAAAAUUCUUUGUUGAGGUUU